GCUGCAGCUGUCUCAGAUCUUAAAACCAUUCAUCGGGAGAACUAGGAAAGGACACCUCUGGGCCUGCCUGUGAGCUGCUGCUAGAGAAGAUUAGCCGAGAACUGAGUGAAUGAGAGCCACCUUGAGAGGAGUGCCAUCUAACAGGCUGGAGGUCCGGGUGACGUGAGAAAGUAGAAAGGGGAAGCAAGCCCUGGAUUAUGAGUUUCUUCCCCAGUGGGUGUGGUUUGAUGCUGCCGAUUCAGAUGAACAUCACACUCCAGCAUCACACUCCAGCUUCUUCAGCCUUUGACAGACCUGCAGCAGUGAGAUGCAAGGACCUUGGAGGCCCUCACCCUCAGACCCAGGACAACCGUUGGCUUCUCAGUCUCUGUUCUCACAAGCAUCUUGUUCUGCGUUCCCUAGCUGACACCCAGCUCUCCAAUCUACAGAGGACUGCUGUGGCCCCACAGAGUACUCCAGACUAUUAGCUUCCUCUUGUUAUUGUAUAUAUUCCUUACCCUUAAUGGUCCCAAUACAAGGGUGAAUUAUCACUCUUCUCAGAUCUGUCACCAUCAAUCCAAUAAUGAAGAGAACCAUUUUCAUCUGAAUAAGCAAUUAACCUCCAAGGUAGGAUGGCUCAGUGAGAGUGCGGUC
rnacentral:lncRNA from 1 species